ACAAUCAUUAUUUUAAAAUGUCAAUCUCUGAAGAAGCUAACAUAAGAAAUUAGAUUGUACAAAUCUAAUUUCAGAUUCUCUGGAAUUCUCCAACUAUUUGUUAUUUAAAAAAAAAAGAAAAAAAAAGAAAAAACCUAGUAGGUGUGUGUUAAGACGUCCUUUACUCCUUCCAAGUAGUAAGCCAAGAACUACUGACUUCUCCUGUGCAGAAGAUUUCCUCCCAAGCAAGUCUGCAAACAGUAGUUGCAACAGGACAAAUUCAGUAUUAUGGAAAUCUGCCAUUGCCUUAAGAUGUUCAGAUCAACAUCUUCAACAGGUUGAAAUGGCAAAUGAGCAUGAACAAAGUUUGGCAACAGAAAAGACUUGCACAACACUGGGACAAAAACUGGACAAAUAUUAAUUUUAGAGUACACCUAUGAGGAACCAUAUAGUUGCAAUGGCACUCAUCUGCAAAACAUGCAAAAAAGCUCCCAAGAAAAGAAAAUUAUUUACAAGAACUGAGAGAACAACAAGUUUGGUGAAUAGAAAAAUAAUCUAGAAAUCUUAACACAUCAUCAAUAUUGAGGCUUAACUGGUACAACAGAAAGUAAUUAAAAGACUAAAUGGACAUUUUUUCUAGACUGGGCUCUAGCCUGUACAGGUGAACAAACUGAAUAAAUGCAACAGAGAGUGUUGAAUGAAGUCUCAGAGAAAGUCUGCAGGAAAAAGGAAGUUAAGGAGCAAUACUUGUUCUUCCGAGAAACUAUAAUAAAAUCAUAAACACAAACUAUCCCAAUAGAGAAGAAUAAAGAAGAGUAGUAGGGUUUUAACAUCACUAAAUUAUGAGCUCUUUACUGCUAUCAAGAAAGGAGAUAAAAAGCCCAAAGAAAUAGCAAGGUACCAGAAUAUAAGAUGAGGAGUAAAAGAAUAGUACAAACAUGAAGGGGCAAAAUAAUUAUGCUCAAAGCACAAAGCACACAACUAACUAGGGACAUCAAGAAUAAUAAGAUACCAUUCUAUUAGUACAUUAGGUAGAUGAAGGAAAAUGUGGAUCUGUAAAUCAAUGGAGAGGAAGAUCAACUGACAGAUGAUGUGAGUAGGCUGAAAUGCUUAACAUCCUUUUUAUGUCACCUUUCAUUCGAAAUUUGUCAUGAAGAGACAUGGAUAAUUCACUUAAUACUCACGAAGAGGGAUAUGGUCGUAUAGUCUUACUCCAGAAGAGCAAAACAGAUUAGAGAGUACUUAGCAAAAUUAGACAUUUUUCAAGCCAUUUGGUCCUGAUGAAUUUCAUCCCAGUAUACCUAAAGAACUGCCUGAAACAGCCUUUGAGACUUUGUGGAAGACAGGUAUAGUCUGGACAAAUUAAUAGUAUCUACCAUGAAAAGCAAGAAAAAGAAGAAAAGAAAGAACAAGGGAAUUCUUGACCAGUCAACCUGAGCUUAAUUUCCAGAAAAUUCUUGAACAAUGAAUCAGAACAGCUUGCAAGCACUUAACUAUAAAAGAUGAGUAGCAAUCAACACUGAUUUGAAAACAAGUCAUGUCAACAACCUAAUUUCCUUCCACAAUAGAAUAAGAAGCCUUGUGGAAAACAGCCAGUGUCAUGUACCUUGACUUCAUUUUGGCCUUUUGACAGUUUUAUGUAAUAUUCCUACAUGCAAACUCAGAAGAAAGCAAGCAUAGUGUUAGUAUUGUACAGAGAAAAAAACACUUGGUUAUGGGAGUCCAAUAAUUAUUAAAAUAUAAGACUACAACAACUGUCUUGUUGCCUUGGAGAGUUUUUUAAAUUAUUAUUAUUAUUUGACUUUUUCAUUAAAAAUGUAGAUGAUGGGGAAAAAAAAGUUUAUCAGACUUGCAAACAACUUGAAUCUGAAAAGGCACUGAAUGACUGAAUAAAAUUCUAAAUGUCCUUGGCAAAUAAAAGUAAUGGUCUAGAGACAGUGGAUGAAAUUCAAGAGGAAUAUGGGUAAAGUACUGUACCUAGGCAGAAAUAAUUAAUGACAUAAAUACAAAAUAGCAUAUAAGUGAGACAACAGCAGCUUUUCAGAAAAGGAUCUAAGGUUAUGGCGAAUUAUAAACCUGAUAUAAAUUUGCAAUAUCUUGGUGAAACACAAGGUCAUUCGUCAUUUUUGGCUUUAUCAAAGCAGACGUAGCCCAGAGGAUACAGGAAGUAAACCUUCAACUCUACUCAGUUUUGGGAAGUUUCAAGAUGCAAAUUGUCCAAAUAUGGAGACAGCUGUUCAAGAAACAGCAGAGGAAUACCUACAAAAAAGCAUGAAUGAUCAUAAAUACAGAUAUCAGAGAAUAGGGAAAAAAAAAGCAAAAAAAUAACUGGACUGUCAAUCCCUUUGGUUUCAGCAUGCACUACAUUCCUUACAACUAAAUCCAUUGUGUUCAAAGACUACACAGAGUCUUUAGAACAUAAGCCAGUACCUGCUAGGCCUUACAGCUGGUCUGUUUCCAGCACCAAAUCACAGUAAAGUGAUAGCAGUAAAUUUAACCGCUUACUGUCACUUGCUAUCAGGGGCAGAAAAAGAAAGAUAAGUUAGGAAACACCAUGAAAGAAGAAGCAAAGGCAGAAUGCUGAAAAGCGAUUCUACUGGGGGUGCAUGACUUUGCUAAUAGUGCAUUCAUCAAGAAUAGGCCAUUAUAUUACGAAGAAAGACCAGAAAAUCCAAUAAGGAGUGGGCCUCAACUAUAUUUAUUUUUAAUAUUUUCAAGACUUUCCAAAAGUAGAGAAGUUUCUUAUGGUAGCAAUGCACUGGCAACAGCAUCUCACAGUUCUGAUGACCUCCAAGUGUGCACAGGUGGCAACAGUCUGUAAUGUUGCUUCUCGUCUUCUCUCCAUUCCCUCACCUCCCCAUACUUCUAACACAGAUUGUACUUAAAACCGCUUUUAUAGAAUUCACUUUCUGUGCCCUUCCAUCAAAGCCCACCCCGCAGUACUGUUCCCUGCUUCACUUCCUCCCUGCUUUCCUCUCUUCCACAGAAGCAAGGCCCAAGCAUGUUCCCUGCCCCAUGCUGCCUCGGGCCUUCUCCCCAGUCUUGAACAGAGACUGACAGUGUUUCAUGAGCAGAACAGGCUGUUUUACCAAAGCCACACGCCACAUGACUUGCCUUAACUGCUGCUGAGGUGACCCAGACCGUUACUGAAGGAAAGAUGUUUAUCGUGUGGUCAGAAUCAUGUGCAGAAGACACAGGUGGCCAGCAGGAUGGUCAGAUGCAUCAGGAACAUGGAGUCCCACAGCUGUGAUGCGUUGGCCAAUGUGACUUGCAAAGACUUGCAUCACUAGGAAGUCCAUUGUGAAGCCACUGGAAUUCUGAAGACACACGUUCUCCAGAGAAUAAAGUUGAGAUACCAAGAAGAAAAUUCAUACUACAGAGAUACGUGUUUCUGACUCCAUCUAGUUGCUCAGUGCUGUCUGCUUUUACAUUACUUUAAACUUCAAGUUUCCAAAUAUCUUUCACACACAACAUUUCAGAAAAAUUAAGCUAGUUUCUUUCAUGUGUGAACCAACCUGUAGAUUACAUGAUACCCACAGCAAAGCAACAGUGAGAAAAAAAAAGAAAAAUAAAAAAGAAAUUUUACAUGGCUAAUAUGAAUAUCCAUUAUAACAUCAAACAGAACUCUAAUCAAGUAGAAAACCUUCAAAGACUUGGCGAAUUAUCCCAUGGCAGAGCAAGGUAGGAGCU